CCUACGGGAGGCUGCAGUGAGGAAUAUUGGUCAAUGGACGAGAGUCUGAACCAGCCAAGUAGCGUGAAGGAUGACUGCCCUAUGGGUUGUAAACUUCUUUUAUAAAGGAAUAAAACGAGGCACGUGUGCCUUUUUGCAUGUACCUUAUGAAUAAGGAUCGGCUAACUCCGUGCCAGCAGCCGCGGUAAUACGGAGGAUCCGAGCGUUAUCCGGAUUUAUUGGGUUUAAAGGGAGCGUAGAUGGGUUGUUAAGUCAGUUGUGAAAGUUUGCGGCUCAACCGUAAAAUUGCAAUUGAUACUGGCAGUCUAGAGUACAGUUGAGGUAAGCGGAAUUCGUGGUGUAGCGGUGAAAUGCUUAGAUAUCACGAAGAACCCCGAUUGCGAAGGCAGCUUACUAAACUGUGACUGACAUUGAUGCUCGAAAGUGUGGGUAUCAAACAGGAUUAGAUACCCCAGUAGUC
rnacentral:rRNA from 1 species